GACCAAGUCCCGUGCGGCUAAGAAGAGCCCAAUCCCGCCAGGUCCGGAAGGAAGCAACGGUAAGUUCAUGCUUAGGGCGCCACGGCAAACUUGGUCUUU
rfam:Ignavibacteria bacterium RIFOXYC2_FTLL_35_21 rifoxyc2_full_scaffold_448, whole genome shotgun sequence.